AUGAAAGAUAUUGAAUCAUUUUCUUGCCAAUUAGGUAGAGACUUCAGGCCCCUGGACAACAGUGACAGAGAAGGCCAUUGGGUGGCCAGUGACUCGAAUGUCCAGACACAGAGCACAUAUCCUAUUCACCAACACCAUCACUGGGAACUCGGAACUCUUGCCUCCUUAGAACUUGGUUUAAGAAAUAUCAGUGAGAGAGACAGAACAUGAGAGACUCCUAACUCUGGGAAAUGAACAGGGGGUGGUGGAAGAGGAGGUGGGUGAAGAGUUGGGGUGACUGGGUGACAGGCACUGAGGGGGGCACUUGAUGGGAUGAGCACUGGGUGUUAUGCUAUAUGUUGGCAUAUCGAACUCAAAUAAAAAAUAUAUACAAAAAAAUAAUAAAAAAUGCCUUUUGAGAUAAUUUAUGUCCAAUUGAUGCUUGUCCUCUUGUAUCUUAACAUUCCUAGAGCACCAAUAAAACAAGAUAAAAACAAAAAUAAAAACAAAAUAUGAAAAAAGUAAAAUCUUUGUAUACAUUCAAGCUUAGCUGACAACCCAAGCUUCAAAAGGUGUCAUCUUUAAAAAUACAAGAUUUCCCUAUGCAAUAGUGUGACAUUAUAUAAUAAAAAAAGUAUACACUUGGUCUUUGCCCCUAGUUCUUGGCACAGACCUCCUAAGAGCCCUGUAGAACUAAAAGGAGCAUCUUUUGUUAUUCAUCAUAAAGCCCUUUUAACCAUAUUUGGUUUUAUGCUAAUCAGGUGACUGUGGAGGAUGGGGCUGGUUGCCAGAGAAGUCAGCCCUGUGAUUAGAGGGGUGAGAUUUUCAGCCUCAACCCUGACCCCCAGGGAACAAAGAGGGACUGGAGAGUAAACUAACUACCAGUGUCUAAUAAUUUCAUCAACCAUACCUACAUAAUGGAACCUCCAUAAAACCACUGAACAACAGGGUUCAGAAAGCUUCUGGGUUAGUGAACACAUCGAAGUGCACGGAGGGUGGUCUGCCCAGAGAGGGUGUGGACAUCUCUCUCCCUGCCUCCCCCUUAUCCGUCACCCUGUGCAUCUCUACCAUUUGGCUGUUCCUGAGUUGUAUUCUUUAUAAUAAACUCCCAAAUAGUGAAUAAAACACUCCUUAGUUCUGUCAUCUGUUCCUAGCAAAUUAUUGAAUUUGAGGGGGUCAUGGGAACACUUCAUUUAUAGCCGAUCAGUUGGUGAUAAAUACCAGAGGCCAAGACUUUCAGUUGAUGUCUAAAGUGG
rnacentral:lncRNA from 1 species